rnacentral:tRNA from 1 species
GGGGUUGUGGCUUAGCGGUAGAGUGCUCGCCUCACAAGUAUGAGACCCUAGGUUCGAUCCUUGGCACCCCA